GCAUGCCGCGUGAGUGAUGAAGGCCUUAGGGUUGUAAAGCUCUUUUACUAGGGAWGAUAAUGACAGUACCUAUAGAAUAAGCUCCGGCUAACUCCGUGCCAGCAGCCGCGGUAAUACGGAGGGRGCUAGCGUUGUUCGGAAUUACUGGGCGUAAAGCGCGCGUAGGCGGAUUUUUAAGUCAGAGGUGAAAUCCCGGGGCUCAACCCCGGAACUGCCUUUGAAACUGUGAAAGCUAGAAUCUUGGAGAGGUCAGUGGAAUUUCCAGUGUAKAGGUGAAAUUCGUAUAUAUUCGGAAGAACACCAGUGGCGAARGCGACUGACUGGACMAGUAUUGACGCUGACGUGCGAAAGCGUGGGGAGCAAACAGGAUUAKAUACCCUGGUAGUCCACGGCGUAAACGAUGAUAACUAUUUGUCCGGGCUCUUA
rnacentral:rRNA from 1 species